rnacentral:rRNA from 1 species
GGCUAUCAGAUUAGCCAUGCAGUGCCAGUACAAAUGACUCUGUACAGUGAAACUGCGAAUGGCUCAUUAAAUCAGUUAUAGUUUACUUGAUAGUCUCUUACUACUUGGAUAACCGUGGUAAUUCUAGAGCUAAUACAUGCAUAAAUGCCCGACUUCUGGAAGGGCUGUUGUUAUUAGAUUAAAACCAAUGGUGGCAACACCUCACUUGGUGAUUCAUAGUAACUCUCGAAUCGCAUGUCCUCGCGACGGCGAUGUAUCAUUCAAAUUUCUGCCCUAUCAACUUGAUUGUAGUUUAUUGGACUACAAUGGUUAUAACGGGUAACGGGGAAUAAGGGUUCGAUUCCGGAGAAGGAGCCUGAGAAACGGCUCCUACAUCCAAGGAAGGCAGCAGGCGCGCAAAUUACCCAAUGCCGACUCGGCGAGGUAGUGACAAUACAUAACGAUACAGGGCCUUCGUGGUCCUGUAAUUGGAAUGAGUACAAUCUAAAUCUCUUAACGAGGAACAAUUGGAGGGCAAGCUUGGUGCCAGCAGCCGCGGUAAUUCCAACUCCAAUAGCGUAUAUUAAAGUUGUUGCGUUAGAAACGCGCGUAGUUGAAUUUGGGCACAGACUGGCUGUCCGCUUAACGGCGUGCACGGCCAGGUUGUGUCGAACUUCCUGCCAAUCUGGUCUUCUCUUCACCGAGUGGGCCAGAGCGACAGGACUUUUACUUUGAAAAAAUUAGAGUGUUUAAAGCAGGCGUUCGCUUGAAUACAUUAGCAUGGAAUAAUAGAAUAGGACUUUGGUUCUAUUUUGUUGGUUUCUAGGACCGAGGUAAUGAUUAAUAGGGACAGUCGGGGGCAUUAGUAUUUCAGAGUCAGAGGUGAAAUUCUUGGAUUUCUGAAAGACUAACUACUGCGAAAGCAUUUGCCAAGGAUGUUUUCAUUAACCAAGCACGAAAGUCAGGGGAUCAAAAAUGAUUAGAUACCGUUGUAGUCUUGACCAUAAACUAUGCCGACUCGGGAUUGGUGGAACGUAAUUAUACGCGUCCAUCAGCACCGUACGAGAUAUCAAAGUGUUUGGGUUACGGGGGGAGUACAUUCGCAAGGCUGAAACUUAAAGAAAUUGACGGAAGAGCACAACAAGGCGUGGAAUAUGCGGCUUAAUUUGACUCAACACGGGGAAACUUACCAGGUCCAGACUUAAUAAGGAUUGACAGAUUGAGAGCUCUUUCUUGAUUUUAAGGGGUGUGGUGCAUGGCCGUUCUUAGUUGGUGGAGUGAUUUGUCUGCUUAAUUGCGAUAACGAACGAGACCUUUUCCUGCUAAAUAGACUCACUCAGCCUUGCUGGGUGCAGCCUUCUUAGAGGGACUUUGAUGUAUCAAUAG